CGCUGUCAAUGAUGAUUUUGUUUAUUAAACAAUGGGAAUCUCUCUGAAAAAGAGUGAUAGAUGACUUUUUUUUCUGAUGCAGUU